rnacentral:rRNA from 1 species
UACGAAGGGGGCUAGCGUUGCUCGGAAUCACUGGGCGUAAAGCGCACGUAGGCGGCUUCUUAAGUUGGAUGUGAAAUCUCCUGGCUUAACCGGGAGGCGCCAUUCAAUACUGAGAAGCUUGAGGUCAGCAGGGGAAGGUGGAAUUCCCGGUGUAGUGGUGGAAUGCGUAGAGAUCGGGAGGAACACCAGUGGCGAAAGCGACCUUCUGGGCUGCACCUGACACUCUAGUGCGAAAGCGUGGGGAGCAAACAGG